CAGUAGCCGCGGGAAUACGUAGGUGGCGAGCGUUGUCCGGAAUUAUUGGGCGUAAAGGGCUCGCAGGCGGUUUCUUAAGUCUGAUGUGAAAGCCCCCGGCUCAACCGGGGAGGGUCAUUGGAAACUGGGAAACUUGAGUGCAGAAGAGGAGAGUGGAAUUCCACGUGUAGCGGUGAAAUGCGUAGAGAUGUGGAGGAACACCAGUGGCGAAGGCGACUCUCUGGUCUGUAACUGACGCUGAGGAGCGAAAGCGUGGGGAGCGAACAGGAUUAGAGACCCCCGUAGUCCCUGUCUCUUAUCA
rnacentral:rRNA from 1 species